AAUCCAUAGGUUAAUGAGGCGAACCGGGGGAACUGAAACAUCUAAGUACCCCGAGGAAAAGAAAUCAACCGAGAUUCCCCCAGUAGCGGCGAGCGAACGGGGAGGAGCCCAGAGCCUGAAUCAGCAUGUGUGUUAGUGGAAGCGUCUGGAAAGGCGCGCGAUACAGGGUGACAGCCCCGUACACAAAAGCGCAUGUGCUGUGAGCUCGAUGAGUAGGGCGGGACACGUGGUAUCCUGUCUGAAUAUGGGGGGACCAUCCUCCAAGGCUAAAUACUCCUGACUGACCGAUAGUGAACCAGUACCGUGAGGGAAAGGCGAAAAGAACCCCGGCGAGGGGAGUGAAAAAGAACCUGAAACCGUGUACGUACAAGCAGUGGGAGCACAGGUUUACCUGUGUGACUGCGUACCUUUUGUAUAAUGGGUCAGCGACUUAUAUUCUGUAGCAAGGUUAACCGAAUAGGGGAGCCGGAGGGAAACCGAGUCUUAACCGGGCGUUAAGUUGCAGGGUAUAGACCCGAAACCCGGUGAUCUAGCCAUGGGCAGGUUGAAGGUUGGGUAACACUAACUGGAGGACCGAACCGACUAAUGUUGAAAAAUUAGCGGAUGACCUGUGGCUGGGGGUGAAAGGCCAAUCAAACCGGGAGAUAGCUGGUUCUCCCCGAAAGCUAUUUAGGUAGCGCCUCGUGAAUUCAUCUCCGGGGGUAGAGCACUGUUUCGGCUAGGGGGCCAUCCCGGCUUACCAACCCGAUGCAAACUGCGAAUACCGGAGAAUGUUAUCACGGGAGACACACGGCGGGUGCUAACGUCCGUCGUGAAGAGGGAAACAACCCAGACCGCCAGCUAAGGUCCCAAAGUCAUGGUUAAGUGGGAAACGAUGUGGGAAGGCCCAGACAGCCAGGAUGUUGGCUUAGAAGCAGCCAUCAUUUAAAGAAAGCGUAAUAGCUCACUGGUCGAGUCGGCCUGCGCGGAAGAUGUAACGGGGCUAAACCAUGCACCGAAGCUGCGGCAGCGAACGUAUCACCCAAGACAACUUUGCGGAGUUGACGAUUGACGGAGCGAAGCGACGUCAAAGCGUUCAUUAAAGUCG
rnacentral:rRNA from 1 species